UAUACAUUCAGUUUAUGCAUUGAACUUAUGGUACACUGCACAUUUACAGUAAUCAGCGUAAAGUCGCCUAGUUCAACUCCUGCAAUGCCUGUGAUACACAUGGUACUUUUGGUAUUUUUUUUUUUCACAUCGAACAUUAUCUGUCAGGAAUUUCAUGGUUAUCUCUUAUGUAAGCAGUUACCUCAGCAGAAGACACUCCCACCCGCCUGUUCCCUUGGCUGGUGGUCUAUGUCCGUUAAUGAGUUUGUGUCUCAGACUUCUGGAUGUGUUGUCUGGUUUUUGGGUUUAGCUUGGCUUCUGGAUUUAAUUUAAUCUGGGCUUUAACUGUUUGGUCAAGCCAGCCUAACCUGCGCCUGUGGCGAUGGUCUAGCCCACAGUGGCGGAGAGUGUUCCCCCCAGCGGGAGUCAGAAUUCCCUUCCCAAGGGAUGGGUUGUUUGUCUGAGUUGUCUCAAGUCUAUCAUUCCUGCCCUGGGUGCUAUUGUCCAGUCAUUCAGGAGGUGUUUAG